rnacentral:rRNA from 1 species
GAUGAACGCUGGCGGCGUGCCUAAUACAUGCAAGUCGAGCGAACAGAUGAGGAGCUUGCUCCCCUGACGUUAGCGGCGGACGGGUGAGUCACACGUGGAUAACCUACCUAUAAGACUGGGAUAACUUCGGGAAACCGGAGCUAAUACCGGAUAAUAUAUUGAACCGCAUGGAUCAAUCGUGAAAUACGGUUUUGCUGUCACUUAUAGAUGAAUACGCGCCGCAUUAGCUAGUUGUUAAGGUAACGGCUUAGCAAGGCUACGAGGCGUAGCCGACCUGAGAGGAGGAUCGGCCACACGGGAGCGGGGACACGGACCAAACUCGUACGGGAGGCAGCAGCCGGGAAUCUACCGGAAGGGGCGAUAGCGUGACGUAGCAACGCGGCGUGAGUGUUGAAGGUCUACGGCUCGUAAAUCUCUGUUGCUAGGGAAGAACAAAUGUGUAAGUAACGAUGAGAGUCUGGACGGUCCGGAAGCAUAAGGCCAGGGCUAACUACUG